rnacentral:rRNA from 1 species
ACAGUUGGAAACGACUGCUAAUACCGCAUGAUGUAUUCGGGGGGCAUCCCCUGAAUACCAAAGCUUUAUGUGCUGAAAGAUGGUCUCGCGUCUGAUUAGCUAGUUGGUGGGGUAACGGCUCACCAAGGCGACGAUCAGUAGCCGGUCUGAGAGGAUGAACGGCCACAUUGGGACUGAGAUACGGCCCAGACUCCUACGGGAGGCAGCAGUGGGGAAUAUUGGGCAAUGGGGGAAACCCUGACCCAGCAACGCCGCGUGAAGGAAGAAGGCCUUCGGGUUGUAAACUUCUUUUAGCAGGGACGAAGGACGUGACGGUACCUGCAGAAAAAGCAACGGCUAACUACGUG